rnacentral:rRNA from 1 species
GACGAACGCUGGCGGCGUGCCUAAUACAUGCAAGUCGAACGCAUUUUCUUUCACCGUAGCUUGCUACACCGAAAGAAAAUGAGUGGCGAACGGGUGAGUAACACGUGGGUAACCUGCCCAUCAGCGGGGGAUAACACUUGGAAACAGGUGCUAAUACCGCAUAAUUCCAUUUACCGCAUGGUAAAUGGAUGAAAGGCGCUUUUGCGUCACUGAUGGAUGGACCCGCGGUGCAUUAGCUAGUUGGUGGGGUAACGGCCUACCAAGGCUGCGAUGCAUAGCCGACCUGAGAGGGUGAUCGGCCACACUGGGACUGAGACACGGCCCAGACUCCUACGGGAGGCAGCAGUAGGGAAUCUUCGGCAAUAGACGCAAGUCUGACCGAGCAACGCCGCGUGAGUGAAGAAGGUUUUCGGAUCGUAAAACUCUGUUGUUAGAGAAGAACAAGGAUGAGAGUGGAAAGUUCAUCCCUUGACGGUAUCCAACCAGAAAGCCACGGCUAACUACGUG